AGGAAAGUAGGGGAUCGCAAGACCUUGCGCUUUUGGAGCGGCCGAUGUCUGAUUAGCUAGUUGGUGAGGUAAAGGCUUACCAAGGCGUCGAUCAGUAGCUGGUCUGAGAGGACGACCAGCCACACUGGGACUGAGACACGGCCCAGACUCCUACGGGAGGCAGCAGUGGGGAAUUUUGGACAAUGGGGGAAACCCUGAUCCAGCCAUGCCGCGUGAGUGAAGAAGGCCUUCGGGUUGUAAAGCUCUUUCAGCCGGAACGAAACGGUCACAGCUAAUACCUUUGACUACUGACGGUACCGGAAGAAGAAGCACCGGCUAACUACGUGCCAGCAGCCGCGGUAAUACGUAGGGUGCGAGCGUUAAUCGGAAUUACUGGGCGUAAAGCGUGCGCAGGCGGUUUUGUAAGUCAGAUGUGAAAUNCCCCGGGCUUAACCUGGGAACUGCGUUUGAAACUACAAGGCU
rnacentral:rRNA from 1 species